UCCUCCCGCCAAUCAGAGUCACCCCAUUGUCUGAAUGCGGAAGUUUGACCAUGAGCUUCUGAAACUGCUGCUGUUUCUCUGAAUGAAGAUCGAGCCCAUCACCCCAGAAUCCAACUUCCUUCCUCUGUCCAAUAUCUGAAGCUUGUGACACGACCGAUUGACCGUGCCCUGACGGGAAAGGAUGACCCCCACCCGCAUACCAGGCAGCGGUGCUGGAGGAGCCUGUGAUGGGGGCACCCCAAGGAAAGAUUACGGGAUCGAAACCAGAGGGAAUGGAGGAGCUAUGCCUGAGAGAGAAACGCGGGACAAUAUAUGAUUUUGCUUUAUAACUGUGUCACUCAUUUCUAAUCCUUCUCCUUUAGGGCCUCAGAAUGUGAGGGCUGUGGUCCAAGGACCCCCUAGUUGUAUAUUUUUCCCGUUUAAAUUUGCAACAGAUAAAUUUGUGCUUUUAUGCUGCAGUUAGAGAUUGUGAAGUGCUAUAUGCCUCAAGACUCAAGAAACUAUUGUUCACCCAAGAGAUUCCUAGCCAUCAUCUGGUAUUCCUAAAUGGCUUCGAUUGGUCUCGAAAGCCACUGAUCACAGUAAUAAGCCAGUUGCCACUGCCCGUGUCCAUCCUUAACGUCUGUGAAAUGGAUGUGGGUUUUUGUUGGUCAGUGAAGAAGACUGGUUAGCCAGUAAUGGGUAAGAUUCCUCGAGCGAGGAACAACCUAAGACAGGCACAGUCGUGCAUUGGCCUUCAGAAUAGUGGCCUGUGGUCAUGUGGCUUUAGCAGAUCCCUGGUCUUUGCAUCCGUGUCGGGAAUCUGAUUAAGUUUCUGGCUGGCAAAGCAGCUUGAUAGAAGGAAAAUCGUGCACUCAGUACAUUGUAUUCACAGUAUUUUGGACAGAUGAAAAUGCCAGUUUUGUGGCAGCUUCCAGAACCGACUUAACAACAAACCUUUGGGAAGGAAGGAAAGCACAUUGAAUCCUAUUACAAAAGAUUUGACACGAUUUCAGUAGUUUAAAAUUAUUUUAGGAUGUCAUGAUCUAAUAUGACCGAUUUUAAUGAGUCGUUGUACAAUUAGAUGUUCUUUGGAAAACAGACCUUCAUUCUGCAGGCAUCCUAACUCAUCCACUUUGUGUUUUCCCUGGUUCUCUUCCUUUUGUUAUCAUGCUCAGUUUCACUGUGUUUUUUAUCGUUUUGUUAGUUUUGAGAUAGCUUUUUUUUAGUUGUUUUCUUUUAAAAGAAAUAACCUAGAAUUGCCUACUAAUUGUUAAUUUUCGCUUGUUGCUUGUUUUGUAGCGGUAUGCUGCUUAGGGACCCCUUCACCCUGAACUAAUGUGUCCCUAGAACCGGUCGGCCUGGUUGAGAUAACGUGUUCGGAGAAGCCAAAGGGACGUUUGGGGGGCGUCCACCGACACACCCGGCCCCGGUUGCCGUGCGACAUUGCGUUUGUAGCGGUAUGGGUUGAUGUGGCCUCAGUAGAGGCCAAGGGAGGGAAUGUUGGGAUGUAUAUCUAAUAGGCCUAGGGAGGGUAGAGUUGUAGUUACUGCUUGGGGAAUCAGGGGGCGCUGCGGAGCGGUUGUUUGGACUGCUGACCGAAACUGCCUGUGCAGCUGGACUGCUGUUUACGAGACUGAAACUGUCUCGUAGACAGCUACCAAGGUCAGGCAGCACAAUGGCAGGCUCUUCUCAGCGUAGCUGCCAAGGCCAUAACAGGUGGCUGAGCUGUUGUUUACCAGACUGGAACCGUCUCGUGGAUAUUUGCCAAGGCCGAAUGAGCUCUGUCACAGGAGACGCUUUGUGUGCGAGAGAUCACGUGUGCGAGUAGUUACGUAGCUUAGCAAAAAAUAUAUCGAGUGUGGAUUUCUGGGGGAAAAACAGAAUGUGCACCUUCUCCAGUGAAAGCAUGUAUUUCACUGUAAUCAGCUACGAUUCUGCGAAAUAAAGAACCUUGUGCCAACUAA